GAACUUCACCCGCGGUAGAGUACGGCCUGAGAAUUUUGUUCCAGCACCGGUGUGAGGAAAACAUCUGAGCCCAUGAAUUGCCAGACCCUGGAUACCUGAGACACAUCCACUUGCUUCUCAGGUUUGGAGUGCAUAAUGAGGAGAAAUAAAAACAGAAAGAUCUCCAGAAAGAAGCCAUGGGUGGAGAACAGAGGGCGACUAGAUUAAAUGGAAAGAAUGCCCAGGCAUCCCAUUGCCUCCCUUUGACGUUCCAGAACUUCAUCAAGACAGUGAUGAGCUACAUGUACACCUGGAGGAGGACCAUGCAGAAUACCAUCCAGCGCCAUGAACACUAGUCAGUCAGUCAGUAAUGGUGGGCUUCUUGGUGUGCUCCAGCUCAAUUUUCUCAUGUUUGAUGAUUAGUUCAGGAUCAAGCUCAGAAGCGCACAGCUGCCAGCAAGCAGUCUACUACUGAACUGCACCAUCUCUCCAGCCUGUGCUUACUCUUGAAUAGCCCCAAAGUAGUCAAUGGUAUGGCAAAAUAAACCUCCAUUUCAUUUAGAUUUUUAUAGUAUUUUUUGCCACUUAAAUUAUUUUAUGUAGUUGAGUAUGAUUUUUUUUCCCCCUAAGGAAUUCUAUGUAUCUCAAUUUCAAGAGUCUUCAGCCUUUAUGUUAUACAUAAUUUCCUAUAGAUUUCAAAGUUGCUUUAAUAAAAAGUUUAAUGUUAAAA
ensembl:processed_transcript 5530601H04Rik RIKEN cDNA 5530601H04 gene